UACGUAGGCAGCGAGCGUUGUUCGGAGUUACUGGGCGUAAAGGGUGUGUAGGCGGUUUUCUAAGUUUGGUGUGAAAUCUCCCGGCUUAACCGGGAGGGUGCGCCGAAAACUGGGAGACUAGAGUGCGGGAUGGGAGAGUAGAAUUCCUGGUGUAGCGGUGAAAUGCGUAGAUAUCAGGAGGAAUACCGGUGGUGUAGACGGCUCUCUGGACCGCAACUGACGCUGAGGCGCGAAAGCUAGGGGAGCAAACAGG
rnacentral:rRNA from 1 species